rnacentral:rRNA from 1 species
GACGAACGCUGGCGGCGUGCUUAACACAUGCAAGUCGAACGGUAAGGCCCUUCGGGGUACACGAGUGACGAACGGGUGAGUAACACGUGGGUGAUCUGCCCUGCACUUCGGGAUAAGCCUGGGAAACUGGGUCUAAUACCGGAUAGGACCAUGGACUUCACGGUUUGUGGUGGAAAGCUUUUGCGGUGUGGGAUGGGCCCGCGACCUAUCAGCUUGUUGGUGGGGUAAUGGCCUACCAAGGCGACGACGGGUAGCCGGCCUGAGAGGGUGUCCGGCCACACUGGGACUGAGAUACGGCCCAGACUCCUACGGGAGGCAGCAGUGGGGAAUAUUGCACAAUGGGCGCAAGCCUGAUGCAGCGACGCCGCGUGAGGGAUGACGGCCUUCGGGUUGUAAACCUCUUUCAAUAGGGACGAAGCGCAAGUGACGGUACCUAUAGAAGAAGACACCGGCCAACUACGUGCCAGCAGCCGCGGUAAU